rnacentral:rRNA from 1 species
UACGUAGGGGCAAGCGUUGUCCGGAUUCAUUGGGCGUAAAGAGCGUGUAGGCGGCCAGGUAGGUCGGUUGUGAAAACUGGAGGCUCAACCUUCAGAGGUCGACCGAAACCAUCUGGCUAGAGUCCGGGAGAGGAGAGUGGAAUUCCUGGAUGUAGCGGUGAAUGACGCAGAUAUCAGGAAGAACGACCCGUGGCGAAAGCGGCUCUCUGGAACGGUACUGACGCUGAGACGCGAAAGCGUGGGGAGCGAACAGG